GAGAAACGGCCGCCGGCCAUUGUAAAGCUGUGGAAAAGUGAAGUUGGUCUUGGCUUCUGGCUUCACGGAGGUUCUUCUAUUAACCAGAGAUGAGCAUUGGACAUGAGCUCAGCCGAAGCAAAUUGGGAAUGAGGUUUCUACAUUCCAGACUGAACCUGGCACUCAGCAAAAAUCUGCUCUCAGGUUCUCCCACAUCUCCAAUCUUUUCGGACUUUAGGUUGAUCUGAUACCACCACCAGGACCUCCCCGGCUUCCAUGGGAUCCUGGGAUAGCAUCAUGAAGACAGAGCCUUGAAAUCACCUUCUGUCGUCCAAGGCUUUUCAACUCUAUUCUUCUGCAAACAUUUACUUCCUUUCUUCAAAACAAACAACCCAGUCAUUCGCCAAAACUUGAGCAGAUUCUGUUCCUCAAGACUAGACCUUCAGGUCAUCUUUCCCAUGAGGUCAAGGUCAAAGGGAAGUUCAGGUGCUACAGGGUAUUCAACACAUAAACCUGAGGGAAAAGAAAAUGGAAAUCUGGCCUAGACACUUGGGCUGAAGAAGACAAUGAAGCUGAUGUAAAGAGCAACUCACCUCAAGUCCGCCGGAGCGCACACUUGGAAUUGGUUAAUUAGUGAUGAGAAAGUAUUUGCUUACCUCCAUCUACACCGACAGCUCUGAGAAGGAAGGGAGUCUCCUUUACUUACCAUCGUGUCCCAAAUCUCCAUUACGCUGACCACCUUGCACAGAAGCCAUCUGGAGGUGCUGUGCAUGGUUCUGGCAUGGUGACAUCACAAGCACAAGGCUGGUCAUCACUUCCAGGAAGAGUGGUCUGACAGAGAGUGAGCCCGCACGUGGUCCAGACUGCUGGCGAGGCCCGGGGCCAGAAUUGCUGCCAGAAGCCAAGGACUGUGAGAUUCUGCUCCAGGUCUGGGGGAAAGAAUUGCAUAGAACACCUACCUCACCCCACUUAGGAUAUUUCAUCCUAUAAACCUGGCGGUGACUUUGUGCUUCUAAUAACCUGGCGGGUGAUAAGUGGGAUAACGGCACAAGCAGGCCCUUUGGAGUCCCAGAGAAAUUAGCUUUUUGAGGGAAAUACAAAGGGAUUGCAUUCAUUUCUAAGAAACUUCUAGAAACUGCUUGGUUUUUACAAAUAGUGUGGGCUUUCUUAAACAGGUCUGUGAUCUAAAAUAUUUUAGAGAGAAGCUUAAUAGCAAGGAUCAGAAGAGCAACCACAGAAAUGUUUCCAUUAACAGCUAUGAAGUUGUAAGACCCCAUUCCCAUACCAUCCUGGUUAACCAGAGAUUUUUGAUGGACCAGGUAUACUACAUCCUGACUAUACCUUAUGAGACCGGCAGAUGAGACCAACGGCUCCACCUGGAACUUGUAAGUGCAGAAUCUCAGGCCUUACCUAAGAGCUGCUGAAUCAGGACCUGCAGUUUUAAUAAGACCCCAGGUGAUUUGUGUGUAUAUUAAAGUUUGAGAAGUGCUGGCCUACAGGUCCUCUGGUCCAUCUGAUAUUUUUCAAGCAAGGAAGCGGAAGCCCAGGAGAGGAAGUCUUUUACCCCAGGUGACAGGAAGGUGGGGGGCUGUGACAGGGAAAUCCCACAGCCCCCAUGCCCAGCGGAGGCUUGUCCCUACUCCUUCCCCUGCCCCAGUGCCCCCCGCCCCCCAGUUAUGAGACUCUCUUCUCCAUCCCCUUUGCCCCAGAGAUGGAUGGAGGAUGGGCCAGCUGUGUGGCCCCUUAGAGCAGCAGGCAGCCAGGGACACAAAGCACCCCUGCAAGAGAAAGGAGCUGGAGGAUGCACGCCUCCCAGAAUGCUCUCAGGGUGUGCACAGUGUGUGCAGAAGGAUGUGGGGACCACGGCUGGUACCUUUCCCUAUGCCCGAGGCUCGCCUCCCAAACCCACACGUGGAUUUUCCCUGUGGGAACCUGAGACCUCUUUGACCACAGAAUGUGCUAGGUUUGAAAUGUCAGGGAACUGAUGUCUCAGAAGACAGCCCUUCAUGAAUGAAUUGGUGGGUAAAUACCUUGGCUUCCUCACCUGUGGGGGACAAGGACCACUUUGGGCUGACCCCAUGCCGUCUUCUAGAGGACCUGGGAAAAGGAGCCCCCACUGCCCUACAGCAACACCCUUCUCAGAAGCACACCCUAAGCUGGCUUCCUCCCUUUCCUUAUCUUACUUCCCAGCACCCCUUCUGGGGAUUCCUGGGAUCACCUCCCACAUCAGCUCCUUGCCCUUGAAUCCUCUCAGAGUCUGCUUCUGAAGCAAUCCAACUGGACUGAGAUGAGAAGCCCAAAGAUGAUCACCACACUGCACUGUAGGGAGGGUGGUUUCCUCCAGAACUUUGGUUCUGUGAAUGAGUGAUGCAGGUUUGGGGCAGAGCUGAACUGCCGUGGAGAACGGGGACCAGGGCUGGCUUGAGCUGCCCCAAGACACCUUUCUCUUUACAUUCCUGGAACAGCCUAUCUUCACAUCUAUGUACGUUACAUACUCAGUGAAUACUGGUUUGAUAGGCACCAAAUUAUUCUCCUUCCAGGCCACCCACCAAGCUCUGUCCAGCUUUGUGUGAUACUCAGUAAGGUGUGUCUUGGUUUCAUAACUGCUUCAAAGACUUGGUUCGUAAAACAUAACCAGUGAAAUUGAGAAAAGAGUUUCCAAAGCUUGGUGUGUGCUGUUUGCAUAUAUUCAUAAAGUUCCUACGCACUCAGUCCCAUGGGCGUCAAAAUAAAGGCUCUGUAUUCACUGCGCUACUCCUUCAUUGUGUAUUCAGAGGUCGCCCACAGAAUAGCUGUAGCUACAAGGGAGUCCAGAUUAAGGACUCUCUGACUUUUCCCCAGGAUUUCCCCUGCUCUGUUACGACUAGAGGUCUGCUGUUGACUCAUUUGCGUAGGUUGGAAGGUAGUUGUGCAAACAACAUUUUUUCAGAUUUUCUUCAAGCAUGAGAAAGGUCAAUGAGAUAAGAUGAUUAAAAUGUUUUUUCGAUUAGGAAAAAAAAAAUGUCUGCUGUUAAGGCAACACCUUUCAGAAGCCCCUCUAAAACCAGGCCGGACCCUCUAAAACUUGCGCAGGGGUCAGCAAACUCUUUCUGCAACGGGCCCAGCAGUAAGUGUUUUAGGCUUUGCAGGCCUCAGGUCUCCGUCCUCACUACUCAACUCUGUGGUGUGAAAGCAGCCAGUCACAAUGUGCAAACGUAUGGGCGUGCAUGUGUUCUAAUAAAACUUUAUUUAGACACCCAAAUUUGAAUUGUAUUUCCUUCCAAAUGCUAUAAAAAUAGUCUUCUUUUGACUUU